UCGUCGCAUGGACCGUAUAUAUUAGUUGCCAAGGUUAUGUCUGUUAAAAUCCCGUGCUGGAGGUCGCGGAAUGAUGACGAUCGACGGGAAUGACUCCGGCAGGAAAUUUGCAGGAGAUUGACGUGAUUAAGGUUAGGGAUUUUCGCCCAAGAAGAUUGGGGAAAAACCUAACAGUAACGGAUAGAAUGAAGAAGAAAGAAAGAGGGGAAAAAGAGGGAAAAUCAAUUUUGCGCUAAUUACCAAAAAUGUAAUUAACUUGAUGUUAAUUGAUUAUCAAUUUAUUCAUAAUACAUUGUCUUAUAUACACAAAUUAACAGUUAAUAAUUUUAACUAAUUCUAAAACUUCUGGACUCGUGGGCUGGGCUUCUAUUUGAUCCGAGUCCUGGUCCAAUUUGUUAAUUGUAUAAUUUAAAUGAAUCUGCAAAAAUACCCAAGAGUUAUUAGUAA
rnacentral:lncRNA from 1 species